rnacentral:rRNA from 1 species
UAGCCCUAAACGAUGCGCGUUAGGUGUAUCGGUGACCACGAGUCACCGAGGUGCCGAAGGGAAACCGUGAAACGUGCCGCCUGGGAAGUACGGUCGCAAGGCUGAAACUUAAAGGAAUUGGCGGGGGAGCACUACAACGGGUGGAGCCUGCGGUUUAAUUGGACUCAACGCCGGGAAGCUCACCGGAUAAGACAGCGGAAUGAUUGCCGGGCUGAAGACCCUGCAUGACCAGCUGAGAGGAGGUGCAUGGCGUAGACGUCU